ACGGGAGGCAGCGGUCGGGAAUAUUGCGCAAUGGAGGAAACUCUGACGCAGCGACGUCGCGUGCAGGAAGAAGGUUUUCGGAUUGUAAACUGCUUUCGACAGGGAAGAAGAAGUGACAGCACCUGUAGAAUAAGCUCCGGCUAACUACGUGCCAGCAGCCGCGGUAAUACGCAGGGAGCGAGCGUUAUCCGGAUUUAUUGGGUGUAAAGGGUGCGUAGACGGGAAAUUAAGUUAGUUGUGAAAUCCCACGGCUCAACUGUGGAACUGCAAUUAAAACUGGUUUUCUUGAGUGCUGGAGAGGAAAGUGGAAUUCCUAGUGUAGCGGUGAAAUGCGUAGAUAUUAGGAGGAACACCAGUGGCGAAGGCGACUUUCUGGACAGAAACUGACGUUGAGGCACGAAAGUGUGGGGAGCAAACAGGAUUAGAUACCCUGGUA
rnacentral:rRNA from 1 species